AAGUCGUAACAAGGUUUCCGUAGGUGAACCUGCGGAAGGAUCAUUAUUAAAAGUCAAUGAGUGCACUUAAUUGUGGCUCAGAAACCUUUAUAAAUCUUUUCACCCAUUAACCCAAAGCUGUCUUGUGUUCCCUUAUAUUUGUAUAAGGGUAAUAGCAAUUCAGUAGUACGCAUCAUGGAAAUUGCCUUUAUUGGAAUGUUCAAGUUGCAUUAACCCCCCCUUAUCAGUGACCCCCAUUUUUUUUUAUUAACACUAAAAUAAGUUUUAAGAAUGUAAACCCCCUUUAAAUUAAAUAUAA
rnacentral:misc_RNA from 1 species